rnacentral:tRNA from 1 species
GCUAACGUAGCUUACUUAAAGCAUAACACAGAAGAUGUUAAGAAAAACCCUAAAAAGUUCCGUGAGCA